AUUGAACGCUGGCGGCAGGCCUAACACAUGCAAGUCGAGCGAGCGGCGGGCGGGUGAGUAAUGUGUGGGAAAAUGCCUGAUGGAGGGGGAUAACUACUGGAAACGGUAGCUAGUACCGCAUACCAUCUGAUGUGCCCAGGUGGGAGUAGCUAGUAGGUGGGGUAACGGCUACCCUAGGCGACGAUCCCUAGCCGGGCUGAGAGGAUGGCGAGCCACACUGGAACUGAGACACGGUCCAAACUCCUACGGGAGGCAGCAGUGGGGAAUAUUGCACAAUGGGCGCAAGCCUGAUGCAGCCAUGCCGCGUGUGUGAAGAAGGCCUUCGGGUUGUAAAGCACUUUAAGCGGGGAGGCGUUACCCGCAGAAGAAGCACAGGCUAACUACGUGCCAGCAGCCGCGGUAAUUC
rnacentral:rRNA from 1 species